AUUGAACGCUGGCGGCAGGCCUAACACAUGCAAGUCGAACGAGUGGCGGACGGGUGAGUAAUGUCUGGGAAACUGCCCGAUGGAGGGGGAUAACUACUGGAAACGGUAGCUAAUACCGCAUACCAUCGGAUGUGCCCAGAUGGGAUUAGCUAGUAGGUGGGGUAAUGGCUCACCUAGGCGACGAUCCCUAGCUGGUCUGAGAGGAUGACGAGCCACACUGGAACUGAGACACGGUCCAGACGCCUACGGGAGGCAGCAGGGGGGAAGAUUGAACAAUGGGCGAAAGCCUGAUGCAGCCAUGCCGCGUGUAUGAAGAAGGCCUUCGGGUUGUAAAGUACGUUCAGCGGGGAGGCGUUACUCGCAGAAGAAGCACCGGCUAACUCCGUGCCAGCCGCCGCGGUAAUUC
rnacentral:rRNA from 1 species